CCUACGGGAGGCAGCAGUGGGGAAUUUUGGACAAUGGACGCAAGUCUGAUCCAGCCAUUCCGCGUGCAGGACGAAGGCCUUCGGGUUGUAAACUGCUUUUGUACGGAACGAAAAAGCUCUUAUUAAUACUAGGAGUCCAUGACGGUACCGUAAGAAUAAGCACCGGCUAACUACGUGCCAGCAGCCGCGGUAAUACGUAGGGUGCAAGCGUUAAUCGGAAUUACUGGGCGUAAAGCGUGCGCAGGCGGUUAUAUAAGACAGAUGUGAAAUCCCCGAGCUUAACUUGGGAACUGCAUUUGUGACUGUAUAGCUAGAGUACGGCAGAGGGGGAUGGAUUCCGCGUGUAGCAGUGAAAUGCGUAGAUAUGCGGAGGAACACCGAUGGCGAAGGCAAUCCCCUGGGCCUGUACUGACGCUCAUGCACGAAAGCGUGGGGAGCAAACAGGAUUAGAUACCCUGGUAGUCCACGCCCUAAACGAUGUCAACUGGUUGUUGGGUCUUCACUGACUCAGUAACGAAGCUAACGCGUGAAGUUGACCGCCUGGGGAGUACGGCCGCAAGGUUGAAAACUCAAAUGAAUUGACGGCNGAGAGNGCGAGACGACACGAGGGAGGAGG
rnacentral:rRNA from 1 species